rnacentral:lncRNA from 1 species
AAAGUUUGAUGGAAGCUGGUCUGCUGUUUGGAAGGCUGAUGUUUUUAUUGUUUUUUUGGAAAAUGUAUUUUGUGGCAGUCCUCAUUGAUGCCUGUUGUGUAAUAUUUAGGGCUCUUAAAGAGUUCCUUGGAUUUGUUCAUUAUCUCAGCUAUCAUAGCUGUGUAUAAUGUUUGUUUGUACUUCCUGAAUAUUAUGUUUUAACAUGCUUAAUGUUAUAACAUCUGAUCUAACUUUCUCUGCUAGGCUAAUAGACAUUUAUUUUGUCUGAUUGGUCACCUUUGGUCAAUUUUGACUAAAAAGUGGGAGAAGUGCUGAUAUGGAAG